rnacentral:rRNA from 1 species
CCUACGGGAGGCAGCAGUAGGGAAUCUUCCACAAUGGGCGAAAGCCUGAUGGAGCAAUGCCGCGUGAGUGAGGAAGGCUUUCGGGUCGUAAAGCUCUGUUGCCAGGGAAGAAUAAGGAUGAGAGUAACUGCUCAUUCGAUGACGGUACCUGAGAAGAAAGCCCCGGCUAACUACGUGCCAGCAGCCGCGGUAAUACGUAGGGGGCAAGCGUUGUCCGGAUUUAUUGGGCGUAAAGCGCGCGCAGGCGGUUCUUUAAGUCUGGUGUCUAAGUGCGGGGCUCAACCCCGUGAUGCACUGGAAACUGGGGAACUUGAGUGCAGAAGAGGAGAGCGGAAUUCCACGUGUAGCGGUGAAAUGCGUAGAGAUGUGGAGGAACACCAGUGGCGAAGGCGGCUCUCUGGACUGUAACUGACGCUGAGGCGCGAAAGCGUGGGGAGCAAACAGGAUUAGAUACCCUGGUAGUCCACGCUGUAAACGAUGAGUGCUAGGUGUUGGGGGUAUCAUGCCCUCGGUGCCCAAAUUAACACAUUAAGCACUCCGCCUGGGGAGUACGGUCGCAAGACUGAAACUCAAAUGAAUUGACGG